UUUUUAGGAAGUUUAUUAUAAUAACUUAGGCUAUGGAACCUACAUAGCUUAUUGUUUUGAUUAAACUGAAUGUAUUUAGUUCUUAAACUGAAUUUUCAUCUUGUUUAAUUUGUUGUUUGGUGUUUGUAUAUGCUCCUGAAUGUGAUAAUUUCUGUUCAUAAUGUCCCUUCCUAUUUUUGUUCAGGUUAGUGCAUAUAUUUUAGUAGAGAUGACGAGAUGAUCUGGCUGUUGGAUUGUUUGGUGGUUCAUCGAUCUAUCUAUCUAUUAUGGUUUUCAUACUGAAGUUGAUCAGUUUGUGAAUCUCUCUGUUGAUUAGUUGCCUAUUUGACUGGCCUACCAAUUCUGGGAUAUUAGAGAUUGAAUUACUGUCAAGAGUACAACAAGGUUGUCACCUAAUCAGCAGACCUCUCCACCCUUCAGGUAUGCCAGCGUUUUGUGAUGAGAUGCGAGGUUGGAUGGAGCUUUGAGGGCAUCCAGUUUGGUGGCGACACACCACAUCUAUUUAUUCUUCCCCAAUUACACUGCUGUUUUGAUUCUCAUGUGUGGAGAUGGAUGUGAAUUACCUAGAGGAAGUGGUUACAAUAUCCGUCUGAAAGAUGCAGCAGACACAAUAUAAGUUACUGGUUUGUAGUUAUGCAAAUAAACUAGACCGAUCUUCUCGACUACAGGAGCCGCCCCCGGAGGAGGGUGAUGGCAUGCCAGUGAAGCUAGCUGGGCAUUUAAAGUUCAUGCUUACAUUGGCAAACCAUAUUCAGCAUUAUUGGGUCCAACGCUGGUAGUAAAGAUGGUGUAGCGGCGAAGAAACCAAAGCGGUAUAAAGUAUAAUAUAUUUGUUCUCUUCAUAGAAAGCACUUCUCAUCCAUUCCAG